UAAGAAUCGGCGGCAGCGACAGCGAAAAGGGCGGCGAGGAUCAAGAACUAAUAAAAUAUGGAACAUUUGACGCCGUGUAAAAGGAGGAUACUCUACUGUCGAUAAUUCAUCUGCUAUGUGUGAUGAGUUAUUCCCGCUUCUUGGCGUUCCCGUUUAUACCACGUCUAAGUGAGCUGCCAUCUUUAAAACAAGAAAGGAGGAUACUCUUCUGUCGAUGAUUCAUCUCAUCGACUAUUAUGUGUGAUGAAUUAUUCCCACUUCUUGACGUUACCGGUUCUACCAUGACUAGAGGAGCCGCAAUUUUUUAAAACAAGAUUCGCUCGAGAUUUGACUUGUUGAUCAGUGACGACUGACGUGACUGUUGGCUCACUUGGCUGUCGUUCAGCAAUGCUCACUUGUGGGCCAUCCUUUCGUAUCUUUGAGGCAUGGGGGAGUUGAGCCUGCUCCAGCUACCCGGCCAGCAUCAUUCGACUACAUAGCCGACUUGUACUACCCCAGCUGGUUAAAGUUUCAAGCCAGAUUUAAGCAAAUAAAAUUUCCAACUUCAACUACUGAUCUUCAGCUUUAUACAUCCCAAAAGGUUUGGAGGCAUGUCACUGAUAAGCGAAUCAUACAGUUUUACUACUCUUCUCUCUAUUUGUUGGUGUAUCUGAAGCAGUGAUCAAGGUGGUGAAAUUCUAUUGGUGCCAAUCCCUGCUAUUUCCGUUUACCAAUAGGAGAAACACCAUAAACCACCCAUGACAGAUAGAGGCAAAGUUAAUUUAAGCAAAAGCAUCAUCAACA